GCCGUUGAUGCCAUUUUAUCACCAGGUUCCAGGCCGGGACAUCACUUUAUGCUUCGCACAUUGUGACUAAUUAGUCCAUUUGAGAUGCUGAUGGUGAUGACAAGAGUAAUAAAAUGCAACAAUAAGAGGCCAGCUGUGCCCUUCUGUGGGCCUGGAAGAAUUGGUCAUUUUGGAGAAGUUUACAGCUCCAGCAAUCACACAGUGUUUCUUCCAGAAAAUUCUCAUAGUUGAGGGGCGUACCAGUGAAGUUCAGCACCCAACAUCAUUACCACUGGACCUUCAAUGUCAAUAUCACCUCUUACGUAAAUAGCUUGGUCAUCUUGAGGAAUUUAUUCUGAUCAUGUGAACUCUUGAGAAGAUCAAAGUGCUGUUUGGAGCCUACAGAUUAAACUUUGAUAAUU